CAAGGUAGCGUAUCUACUCCUCAAGUGGUUAAAAAAAUGGCAAAGAAAAAGGAUGGAAUUUUACCAACUGUUGCUAAAGUCUAUGAGAGCACUCAUUAUGUUUGUGUGGGCAAUGAUGAAGUUGAAUUGAUGGGUGACAAGUCUCAAAAAGUCAUGGGAGAAUAUAUGGAAAAACUUGAGGAAUAUAAGAACAAAGGAAUUGAGAUAAACCCCGACAAAGUCUACUUGGAGGUUGUAGGUGGG